GUGGGGAAUCUUGCGCAAUGGGCGAAAGCCUGACGCAGCCAUGCCGCGUGAAUGAUGAAGGUCUUAGGAUUGUAAAAUUCUUUCACCGGGGACGAUAAUGACGGCACCCGGAGAAGAAGCUCCGGCUAACUUCGUGCCAGCAGCCGCGGUAAUACGAAGGGGGCUAGCGUUGCUCGGAAUUACUGGGCGUAAAGGGCGCGUAGGCGGACAGCUUAGUCAGAGGUGAAAGCCCAGGGCUCAACCUUGGAAUUGCCUUUGAUACUGGCUGUCUUGAGUAUGGAAGAGGUAUGUGGAACUCCGAGUGUAGAGGUGAAAUUCGUAGAUAUUCGGAAGAACACCAGUGGCGAAGGCGACAUACUGGUCCAUUACUGACGCUGAGGCUCGAAAGCGUGGGGAGCAAACAGGAUUAGAAACCCGAGUAGUCC
rnacentral:rRNA from 1 species